rnacentral:misc_RNA from 1 species
CCCAACUAUCCCUAUUAAUCAUUACGUCGAUCCUAGAAACCAACAAAAUAGAAUCAAACGUCCUAUUUCAUUAUUCCAUGCUAAUGUAUUCAAGCGCGAGCUUGCUUUAAACACUCUAAUUUUUUCAAAGUAACAGUCCUGAUUUCCCGCGACACCAAAUUAAUGACAUCGUGGUUCGUCAGAAGGGAGAAACCAAUAAUGCUAGUACGUACAAAGUACGACCAGUAAGCCGGUCUCGAAAUUCAACUACGAGCUUUUUAACUGCAACAACUUUAAUAUACGCUAUUGGAGCUGGAAUUACCGCGGCUGCUGGCACCAGACUUGCCCUCCAA